rnacentral:rRNA from 1 species
AUUGAACGCUGGCGGCGUGCCUAACACAUGCAAGUCGAGCGGUAACAGGUGUGGCAAUACAUGCUGACGAGCGGCGGACGGGUGAGUAACGCUUGGGAAUCUGCCUGUUAGUGGGGGACAACCCGGGGAAACGUCGGGCUAAUACCGCAUACGCACUACGGUGGAAAGCCGGGGACCGCAAGGCCUGGCGCUAACAGAUGAGCCCAAGUCGGAUUAGCUAGUUGGUAGGGUAACGGCCACCAAGGCGACGAUCCGUAACUGGUCUGAGAGGACGACCAGUCACACCGGAAUUGAGACACGGUCCGGACUCCUACGGGAGGCAGCAGUGGGGAAUAUUGGACAAUGGGCGAAAAGCCUGAUCCAGCGACGCCGCGUGGGUGAAGAAGGCCUGCGGGUUGUAAAGCCCUUUCGGUGGGGAAGAAAG